rnacentral:rRNA from 1 species
GAGACAGCAGUCGCCGCGGGAACACGAACCGUGCGAACGUUAUUCGGAAUUACUGGGCUUAAAGCGCGUGUAGGCGGGUUCGCACGUCGGGCGCUGAAAUCCCCUGGCUUAACCAGGGAAGUGGCACCGAUACGGCGAGUCUGGAGGGAGGUAGGGGGGUUUGGAACUUCCGGUGUAGCGGUGAAAUGCGUAGAUAUCGGGAGGAACACCUGUGGCGAAAGCGGCUCACUGGACAAUAACUGACGCUGAUGCACGAAAGCUAGGGGAGCAAACAGGAUUAGAUACCCCGGUAGUCCCUGUCUCUUAUA